GUGAUCUGUCUGGGGUGCCACGUGCUGAGAAAUACCCAUUGAACCUGAUACAGUUAAUACUGUCGCAGGGAGACGCUAUAUCUACCAA
rnacentral:ncRNA from 2 species